rnacentral:rRNA from 1 species
AUUGAACGCUGGCGGCAGGCCUAACACAUGCAAGUCGAGCGGAUGAAGGGAGCUUGCUCCUGGAUUCAGCGGCGGACGGGUGAGUAAUGCCUAGGAAUCUGCCUGGUAGUGGGGGAUAACGUCCGGAAACGGGCGCUAAUACCGCAUACGUCCUGAGGGAGAAAGUGGGGGAUCUUCGGACCUCACGCUAUCAGAUGAGCCUAGGUCGGAUUAGCUAGUUGGUGGGGUAAAGGCCUACCAAGGCGACGAUCCGUAACUGGUCUGAGAGGAUGAUCAGGCACACGGGAACUGAGACACGGUACAGACUCCUACGGGAGGCAGCAGUGGGGAAUAUUGGACGAUGGGCGAAAGCCUGAUCCAGCCAUGCCGCGUGUGUGAAGAAGGUCUUCGGAUUGUAAAGCACUUUAAGUUGGGAGGAAGGGCAGUAAGUUAAUACCUUGCUGUUUUGACGUUACCAACAGAAUAAGCACCGGCUAACUUCGUG